rnacentral:rRNA from 1 species
CCUACGGGUGGCAGCAGUGAGGAAUAUUGGUCAAUGGGCGCGAGUCUGAACCAGCCAAGUCGCGUGAAGGAUGACGGCCCUACGGGUUGUAAACUUCUUUUAUAAGGGACUAAAAUAAGCCACGUGUGCCUUUUUGUAUGUACUUUAUGAAUAAGGAUCGGCUAACUCCGUGCCAGCAGCCGCGGUAAUACGGAGGAUCCGAGCGUUAUCCGGAUUUAUUGGGUUUAAAGGGAGCGUAGGUGGGUUGUUAAGUCAGUUGUGAAAGUUUGCGGCUCAACCGUAAAAGUGCAAUUGAAACUGGCAGUCUUGAGUACAGGUGAGGUAGGCGGAAUUCGUGGUGUAGCGGUGAAAUGCUUAGAUAUCACGAAGAACUCCGAUUGCGAAGGCAGCUUACGAAACUGCAACUGACACUGAUGCACGAAAGUGUGGGUAUCAAACAGGAUUAGAUACCCUUGUAGUC